rnacentral:rRNA from 1 species
UACGGAGGGGGCUAGCGUUGUUCGGAAUUACUGGGCGUAAAGCGCACGUAGGCGGACCAGCAAGUUAGGGGUGAAAUCCCGGGGCUCAACCCCGGAACUGCCUUUAAAACUGUUGGUCUGGAGUUCGAGAGAGGUGGGUGGAAUUCCGAGUGUGGAGGUGAAAUUCGUAGAUAUUCGGAGGAACACCAGUGGCGAAGGCGGCUCACUGGCUCGAUACUGACGCUGAGGUGCGAAAGCGUGGGGAGCAAACAGG